rnacentral:rRNA from 1 species
AGAGUUUGAUCCUGGCUCAGAACGAACGCUGGCGGCGUGGCUAAGACAUGCAAGUCGUACGGUAUGAUGUAGCAAUAUGUCAUACAGUGGCGGACGGGUGAGUAAUGAAUGGGUAAUGUACCUUGGACACAGGAAUAGCGUCGAGAGCCGCAAGGCUCUCUUUGCGAAAGUGACGGUAAUACCUGAUGAAGCGUUUGGGAGGAUGCUCCUGAACUCCAAAGGGUGGGGACCUUCGGGCCUACUGGUCUGGGAUCAGCCCAUUUCCUAUCAGCUAGUUGGUGAGGUAAUGGCUCACCAAGGCAACGACGGGUAGCCGGUCUGAGAGGAUGGUCGGCCACAUCGGAACUGAGACACUGUCCGGACACCUACGGGUGGCUGCAGCAACGAAUAAUCCGCAAUGGGCGAAAGCCUGACGGUGCGACGCCGCGUGCAGGAGGAAGUCCUUCGGGAUGUAAACUGCUUUUAGGGAGAUGCAAACAAAGCGGGCUAAUACCCCGUUCGUUGAGCUAUCCCAGAAAAAGCCUCGGCUAACUCUGUGCCAGCAGCCGCGGUAAUACAGAGGAGGCAAGCGUUGUUCGGAAUCACUGGGCUUAAAGCGCGUGUAGGCGGCGCGAUAAGUGUUCUGUGAAAUCCCACGGCUCACCCGUGGAACUGCAGGGCAUACUGUCGUGCUUGAGGCAGGUAGGGGCCACUGGAACUCUCGGUGGACGGUGAAAUGUGUAGAUAUCGAGAGGAACGCCCGAGCGAAAGCGGGUGGCUGGGCCUGUCCUGACGCUGAGACGCGAAAGCGUGGGGAGCA